rnacentral:rRNA from 1 species
UUUUUCCUACGGGAGGCAGCAGUGAGGAAUAUUGGUCAAUGGGCGAGAGCCUGAACCAGCCAAGUCGCGUGAGGGAGUACUGCCCUAUGGGUUGUAAACCUCUUUUGUCGGGGAGCAAAAGCCGGACGUGUCCGGCUGUGAGAGUACCCGAAGAAAAAGCAUCGGCUAACUCCGUGCCAGCAGCCGCGGUAAUACGUAGGGGGCAAGCGUUAUCCGGAUUCACUGGGCGUAAAGGGAGCGCAGGCGGCAUGGCAAGUCUGAUGUGAAAACCCGGGGCCCAACCCCGGGAGUGCAUUGGAAACUGC